rnacentral:lncRNA from 1 species
UUUUUUUUCUGUAGCAAACAUCUUUCCUGUGAAAAAUUCCCUCUCCUAGUACUUUAGUUCUGUGGAUCCAAAAUUUAUAGCAUUCUUCUACCACCACAGGGGCUCAUAUGACAUUAACAGACAAGACACUUUUCAGAAAGACAGGGAACUGUGGAAGUAAACCAGGGGUGACAUGGAUUAUCAAAUAUUGUGGAUCAGGUGAGCUCUAGGCUUCUCAAUGCAAGGUUGUUCUUUUGGGCCACAUCUAAGAAAUCUUUGUCUAGCCAAAAGCCACAAAUAAUUUCUCAUUUUUUGGCUUCUGGAAGAUGUACAGUUAAAUGUUAUAUUUGGGACUGUUAUCUAAUUUGGUUAAAUUGCACUCUACAAUAUGGUAUUUGAAUUGAUGAAAAAUUAGUAAAUGUUAAUAUUUUUUAAAGUAGCCAAAUCUUGCAAUUUAUAUAUAAUAGAGAAGACUAGAAAAUCCCCCAUAUUUAUUUCCUCUUACUUCGUACUACUAAAAUUUGUAUUUAGGCAUUUGGUUUCUCAGAUAAACAUUACAUUCCCCAGUAUAUGGUUCUAUCUGGCUUGGUGACGACAUGUUGAACAUUAAGAUGUGAGCAGAAGUAAUACAUACACACUCUUUUUCAUGUCUUUAAUUGAAUGGGAUAUUGGCCCAUUUUUUCUUCCAGUUUAUUACACUGAAUAUUGACAUGUUAUUUUCCAAUAUUGAGACAAUCAAUGACAAGACUUUAAGAGUAACAAUGUAAAAAUACAGAAGUUGUCUGAGUUUAUCAACAAUCCCCUGGAUUAGAACCCCCUACCAGUUCUAGGUCAUCUAAUAUAUAGACAUUGUGUUCAGUAGAAAUAAAUAUAUAUAUUUUUUAUUAUGCUUUAAGUUCUAGGAUACAUGUGCACAACAUGCAGUUUUGUUACAUUGGUAUACACGUGCCAUGUUGGUUUGCUGCACCCAUUAACUCAUCAUUUACAUUAGGUAUUUCUCCUAAUGCUAUCCCUCCCCCUGCCCCCACCCCCGACAGGCCCUGGGGUGUGAUUUUCCCCACCCUGUGUCCAAGUGUUCUCAUUGCUCAAUUCCCACCUAUGGGAAUACAUUUUUAAAUCAUUUUUAAAGGUGUUAUUACAUUCUGAUUGAACAUUUUCAGAAAGAAUAAAUAAUUUAAUACAAGAAGUGGGCCACUUCAUGUAACAAAACAAACCACCACUACAGCAACAACAACAAAAAACACUAAUGAAUGUGACUUUAGCUUUGCAACAUCGUGACAGACUAGCAAGUUAAUGACAUUUGUUAUGCCAUAGAAAAUAUUUGUUGAAUUGCCACUCUAAUGACUUUAUAUCAGCCAACUCAUUAUCAACACUAGAAAAGAUGAUUAAAAAAUACUUCAGUACGUUCACGUGUUGGCUUGUUAACAUUUUUAAGAGUCUAUAAGAGAAAAAUGCAUCCAAUCUUGACAAAAAUAUUUUUCAAGUAUCUUGUAGGUACGUACAACUAACUACCUUGUGAACAAAAGUCACUAUAUAAUUAUAUAAUUUCUGACACUUAAAAAAGUUUAUUGUGCUAAAGAAGAUAUAUGUUCUAAUACCAAAUCCACAUAUAAAAUAAUUGACUUAAAUAAUUUAAGAUGCUCUUUUAUAUAUUUAUAUUAAAAACUUUACAGAGAAUAAAAAAAGCAUUAUACAGGCUACUUAUGGUUUUUGAUGUUUGGAUCUACAAUACAUGUAUCAAAGAUUGUGGAAAUAAAUCAAACAAUAUAUUCAAUUGGACUUAAUUGCAUUAUUACAUGCCAAGUGUCGUAUACCAUCUAUUUGCACAUAACACUUUUUAAUUUAGGUAAAAUUAUUAUCAUAAAGCUACAUGAAUUUAUUUUAUUCCAUGUUAUUAUUUAUGUAUUGUUAGGAACAUUUGCUUAAAAAUCAUAUUUGGACAUAGUUAGUAUCAGAUACUUUACAUCCUUUGAAUCAGUUAUUUUAUAACAGUAUAUACUAAACAUCAUUACUCCUUUUCAAACAUAAAUAACGCAAUACAAAUUGGACAAAAAAUUCAGGAAAGAUCUGGGAUCAAAAAGGAGGUAUUGAAACAUCACAUGUACUCCAUAAUUAUAUACAAAUAUUUUGUACCCAUAAUAUUUAAAAUACAGAAAAUUAAAAGGUGCAUUUUCCUCAAAGUGCAUGCUUCUUUUGCUAUGCAAAACUGCAAGAUAUGGAAAGAAGUGUAUUAAAACACUAAAUCACUUUAUGUGGAAGAUAAAAGGGAUGGUACCCAAUGUAAGACUUCAUGUAGUGCACUGAUACAUUCAAUACAAAUGAUGUAUUAACUUCAAGAUAACAUGAGAAAGUUAAAUUAUCUAACUUAUUUCAAACUAGGGGAUAGUAUGUUCUCAUUAUUAGAAGCCAGAAUUCUGCUUAUCCAUUUCUAUUAUUAGAAAAAAACAUAAUUUUUAUUCUUGUCUUAAAAAUAGACACCAUGAUAUCAUUCUCUGUAAAUGCAGCAUGAUAGUCUGUUUACAGAGUUUAUAUCAUUCCAAGACUGCACUUCUAAAGUGAGAAAAUAUUAAAGGAUAUAAACUCACUCCUCUCUACAAAAUUCCUUAUUUUUUAUGCAAUGGCUUUAAAAUGUAUGGAAGGGGAGUUAUGGAAACAAUCCAUACCUGGAAAGCAUUCUAUCCAUGCCUUUGAAAUGGUUAUCUAGUACUAGAUUCUUAUCAGUGCCUAGCUAUGUAAUGUGUGUAGCUUAAGAUUUUUAAGAAAGAAGGAUAAAAUGCUCAAUAUAAAUUUAAAAAGCACUUUUAUUGGAAUAUUGAAUCAUAUAUUUGCUUUCUGUAAGUCCUUUUAUCUAUAAAAUAAUAGUUGAGAAAGGCAAAUAGAAUAUGUGGAGGAAUUAAAAAUUCAGUUGUAGGGUGGUAAAUGAAAACCAAAUUUUUCAUUCACCACAUUAAAUGUAAAUGGGUAUUAUACUCAAUUUAAGCAGCAAAGUUGCUUUUUUUUUUUUUUUUUUUUUUG